ACGCCGCCCGCCCCCAGCGCGUCCAGCCGCGGCGUCCGGAUGGCCGAGCCGUGCCAGCCCACGUCGCCCCAGCCCAGGUCGUCGGCCAGCACCAGCACCAGCUUCUAGGUAUUUCUCCAGACUUUCUGAUGGAAGCAGUGGAAUGUGUCACAGAGGCAUUCCAAAGAAAAUGAUAGAAGGAGAGACUGGAACUUCACUCAGUACACAAGAGAUGAAAAUCCAUAGUGAAAGAAAGCAGAGAAGCAGCAUUCUGCAAUUUUUGUCUGCUUCCCUAUAUCUUGAAACUAAAUUAAAUUUAACUGGACAAGGCUCAAGCUUGGUGAGACCCAAGAACAAUAGCUGUUCCUGAGCAGCCCACAUCAGAAUUUGGGUUUCUUCUCUAGUCAAGAUUUGAAACUGAAAAUUAGUUCUACAAUUAACAGGAAAAGGAGGAACAGAAGAUCUUCAGUGGCAUGCCUGACUACACAUUCAGACCAGUGAGUGCUUGAUACAGUAUUUUAACGUCCUUUCAGUGACUAAGCAAUAACAUGUACAUGUUAUCUACCAGCUAAUCUGUAUGAAAUAAUGAUGAACAUUUCCUGUAACUGUUGCAUUAAGAAGAUUUUGAUCAUUUCUGCCAGAGUGAUACAUUGAGGGGGGGAGAAAAAAAAAUGCAAUUCAGUUUGCCUUUAAUACUGUCUUUAUUACUUUGUAAUGAUUUAUGGGAUAGAUUUCCAUUCUUUAGAGAGCAUUUCUGUGCAGAACAGUAAUAUUAUUUUAUUGAUAAGUUUGUUAACUCAUAACCAGUUAUAAGGAUAAGCUACUUUACCCCAAGGACAGGCAAAGGAGGAACUAUGAGUUUCCAGUUGAAGUAAGAAUUUGCUAUUAGUCAAUACUAAGAGCAACUUCUUCCUCUAUCUGAAUUCAGAUCUGCCAGCCAGCAUCUGAGCAAGCUGAAUCAAACCCAGCCACUUUCUGCUCUCAGCUGUUACUGAGAAUAGUGGAAACAUACUGGUCCAUCAGCUGUGCUCGGAUCUCUGAAAUGAACAGUGCAUACAAGGAAGCAAGGGGGCAAUGCCAUCAAAUUUCUCAGUGAAGAAUGGCAAUGAGAUUCUUACGUUCAGUAAUUAAGAAACCUGAGUAGUUUAAUUCUCUUAAUUGCAUGAUAUAAAAAGAACUGCACAA